UACGAGGGGGGGCAAGCGUUGUUCGGAAUUAUUGGGCGUAAAGGGUGCGUAGGCGGUCUGACAAGUCUGAUGUGAAAUCUAUGGGCUCAACCCAUAGUCUGCAUCGGAAACUGUCGGGCUUGAGUAUGGGAGAGGUGAGUGGAAUUUCCGGUGUAGCGGUGAAAUGCGUAGAGGAUGUGGAGGAACACCGAUGGCGAAGGCAGCCCCCUGGGCCAACACGUGACGCUCAGGCGACGGAAAGCGUGGGGAGCAAACAGG
rnacentral:rRNA from 1 species